rnacentral:sRNA from 1 species
AGGCUGCAGUGAGCUAUGGUCAUACCACUGCACUCCAGCCUGGGCAACAAACAAGACCCUGCCUCUCAAAAAAAACAAAACAAAAAUCUGACAAAUAGGGUUGUUAACUGUGAGCCUGAGGAAAAGUAUAGAUUUUAGUGUGCUUAAACAACUUGUCUGUUUUCUUUAAAUCUUUUCCCUUAGGUUAGAUAAUGCUGCUCAUGAUUGUGAGAGCACAGAAAGUUCUUUUGUUUUCUAGAAUUAAGUCUGCUCACCUGGUUUGCAUUCUGCAUCUGCCUUUCUUUAGUGCAGGGUAGUGUCAGUCCCACUGUGGCCCAAAGUUUGCAUUCUGCGUUAACCAUGUCACAAUUAAUGAGGUUUUACUAUAGGCACAAAUGCUUAAAAAAGAAAAAAACGAUUGUUUUGUGUGGUUAAAAUAAAAACUUGUGGGGAUUUUAAUGUAUUUCUUUGGUGAAAAUACAUUAGUUGUUUGUCUCUAAUUGGAUCACUUUCCCUUCUAGACUCUGAACAGGAAGUGCCUCCUGGAACCACAGAGUCGGUUCAGUCUGUGGAUUACUACUGUGAUACGAUCAUUCUUCGGAACAUAGCUCCGCACACUGUGGUGGAUUCCAUCAUGACAGCACUGUCUCCUUACGCGUCUUUAGCAGUCAAUAACAUCCGCCUCAUAAAAGACAAACAGACCCAGCAGAACAGAGGCUUCGCAUUUGUGCAGCUGUCUUCUGCAAUGGAUGCUUCUCAGCUGCUUCAGAUAUUACAGAGUCU